UACGUAGGGUGCGAGCGUUAAUCGGAAUUACUGGGCGUAAAGCGUGCGCAGGCGGUUUUGCAAGCCGGAUGUGAAAUCCCCGGGCUCAACCUGGGAAUGGCAUUCGGGACUGCAAGGCUUGAGUGCGGCAGAGGAGACUGGAAUUCCUGGUGUAGCAGUGAAAUGCGUAGAUAUCAGGAGGAAUACCGAUGGCGAAGGCAGGUCUCUGGGCUGACACUGACGCUCAUGCACGAAAGCGUGGGGAGCAAACAGG
rnacentral:rRNA from 1 species